UCCUCUCAUCUUAAUUAAGUUAUAUAGUUUGAAUUUAUGCAUUUUAAAUCUUCCCUUUUAUCUGGACUAUUGUUAAUAGUUAUUUAUAAUUUAUCCAUUUCUUCUUGCAGGAAAGAACAAAAGUGGGUGCUUACUUUUACUGCAUUGCACACACAUGAAUAUGACUGCAAAAUUAGUCACUACCAAGACUACUCUUCAGAGAUAAAUAGAUUCAAUGCCUCAUUAUAAUUCUACUAAUCCCACACAUGCCCAAAGAUCACUGAACAGUCAUUUCUGAUUUCUUUCAGGUUCACAUACUGUUUCAAGUUCUAUGAGAAUAUGCUACACCGAUAUUGUCAGUUUCAUCACACCAGAGAUUGGCGGCUUCAACUUCAUUGUCGCUAAGACUGGUGCCCCAUUGGUGUUGGGUACAGUUUAUUGAUACGUAGGAGUUUUACAGUUAGCUUGGUUUUUGUAUACCUCUGUGUCAAAAGAAAUAUGUGUAUGUUGUUUGCUGCAAAUGAAUUGAUUUCAUUGCAUUUCAGGCUUCAUGACUUGAAGCAACUUGGUGAGUUUUAUGCUGUUUGUUCGAUUAUAGUAUAUUCUUUUACAAUGACUUUAAGUAUUUACAUAGAUAGUUUUGCAAUUUGAUUUUUUUUAUUUUUUUAUUUUUUGCAGUUUUUUCUAAAAAUGCACGAUUCAAUUUGGAUGUGGCCUUACAAUUUGUUUCAUUACAAUAUAAUAUGUUUUAAAUGUUCUCUUAUUGAGUAAAGUUUUGGAUGGUUUGGCAGUGUGUAAUUGAAGUUCUGUUUGUCAUUGUAUCGAUGUUGCAGUUUGCUUACUUGCCAAAGCUUUUAACAUGUUUCGGGAGUGAUACACAUGGAGAAUACCAGUGGCUACACAUUCCAGUUGGCAUUGGUUGCAGACCCAUUUGUUGAGGUUCGAAGAAAAAGGAAGGGGGGAAAGUGUAUUCUUGCCAUAGAUUUUCUGUUGGGAGUGAGCAUUGAAGAAAAGGGAAGGUGAUAACAGCGGAAGAGGUGGCUUUUUGCUUUUGGCCUUUUGUUUUCUUCAUUUUGCUUAAUGUUGAGACUUGAGAAAAGAACUAAUG